CAGGAAGUCACAUGACUUACGGAAAGUGAGCUGCAGGAUGAAGCUCAGAUAAGAAACUCUGCCACAGUCAGACAGACGGACAAACACAGAGCCAGACUUCACUUUCACACUUUAUUCAAACAGAACUUUCACAACAGACUUGAUCUCAGUUUUCUGGGCUCUGGUUGGAGGAUCAGGGAUCAGAGACCUCCAUCAUGGCCACCGCUGACCAGCUGCUGGAGCUGAUGUUCUCCUGGAUCGAGCAGAGGGAGCGCUGUGCAGAGAAACUGAGGAAACUGGCCAAAGAGCUGGAGUUACUCAGGGAGAAGUGUAACGCUGCAGAAUGUGUUGGAAGCACAUAUGCAGUGGUUGGAUCCUUAUCUCUGAUCGGGGCCGGUGUGGCCACUGUGUUCACUGGCGGUGCAGCUGCUCCACUUUUAGGCGUGGCAGGAGCAGUAUGUUCAGGUGUCGGUCUAACUGUAUCUGUGGCUUCUAAAAUCAUUGAGCACUUCUCAUCCAGCGAUACCAUGAAAGAGGCACAGGAGAUUGAAAAGAAGAGCAACAAGGUUGCAGAAGAAAUCCAGGAUCUGUUCAGGCAACUGAAGGCGGAGUGUUCCUCCACUGACCCAGAUGAAGUGGACCAACACGUCAUGACUGAAAUUCUGAAAGGCAUGGCCAGAAGAUGUGGACUCAAAUGGCACCUAAUGGAUUUCAAGAGGAUUUUUGUUGCAAUAAAGAGAAACAUCAACGAGAUCUUAUUCAGUCCUGUAGUGAAAGUUGCACUGGUAGUAAAACUUGCCAGUAUUUUAAAUUUUUUCACAUUUAAAGUUAAUGGGAAAAUAUACAAACAUUUGUUUAAUAAAGGAGCUAAAGAAUUCACCAUACCAAUGACUAAAAUUGCUGAAGAAGGAGCAAAAAAACUCACCAAAGACAUGGCUAAGACUGGAUUUAAAAAAGCCUUUAAAGGAGGCGCCAUGGUUGUAGGAGGAGCUGUUGGACUGGCGUUUGAACUUCCUGAGGCGAUUGACAACUGGAAAGAGCUGAUCAAGAAUAAUCAUGUGACUGAAGCGAGCCAAUCACUGAGAGAUACAGCUAAGGCCAUUAAAAAGAUCUGCCAGACACUGAGGGAACAGUUCGACAACAUGAAGUAAGAAGUUUUCUGUGAUUCUCCACCCAGAUUCUCUCCUCCUGUAGAUCUGAGAACAGCAGCUGGACUCAUUUAGAUUCAUGUUACUUCAAAUACUGACUGCUUGUCCUGCUGGAAAACCCAUCCAAAGAAACUUUACUUUACUGUCCACCUGUAUAGUCAGACCACUGACUAUACAGGUGGACACCGAUACAGACUUUAUCAGGUAUCGACCGUGUCAGGAUAUUCAGGCUUCAUUUUUGUACAGUGGGAGGAAGUGGAGACGUCCAUCUUUUAUAUGUAGAUGAGCCAUACUCAUACAUACUCAUAUUUUUACUAGAAAAUGGAUAAAUCUGUAGCAAGACCUACAAAAAGUUUUCAACAUGACAAAUAAUCACUUCCAGACACUGAAGCUAACAACAUGCUCGCUAGCAGAUUCACAGACGAUUUCAUUGGACACAUUUUGACAGGGGAUGGAACGGUUGACAACGUUGCUUUCAGUUGGGUUCAAACCUUUUUAUCUCUAAUUUUGAUACAGGUCAUUACUUCCCAACAUUUACAUGAACAUCGUUUCAGGGUAAAAUGUUUGCUCGCAACCACUGAUGUUGAUUUAUGCUAACUGUCAUUUCAUUUGUUUUAUUCACAGAAAGAUGUUACAAGAGAUGGACAAAAGACAACGAGAAGAAGAGGAGAAGGCUAAUAGACGACAAGAAGAAGAGAAGAAGGCUAAAAGACGACGAGAGGAAGAGGAGAAGGCUAAAAGACGACAAGAAGAAGGUGAUCAAACAAAUC
rnacentral:lncRNA from 15 species